rnacentral:rRNA from 1 species
UUUCAGCAACGGAUCUUUUGGCUCUCGCAUCGAUGAAGAACGCAGCGAAAUGAGAUAAGUAAUGUGAAUUGCAGA